AAGUAUUUUAAUGUAUUCGGUAAUGUUACACUUAUCCAUGUUUACCAGAGGGUUCAAAUUGCAUUGAGUUAGAGGCUCGAUCACUUCGUCAGCAGAGCGGAGGCUUCACAGUUUUAUGAGCUGGGAUAUAAAUAGAACCCACAGUGGUGGGAGAGGUUGGAAUGAAGGCCCAACAGUCAGCCAACACAGACUAGAUACAUGCUGUCAGAAGGCAGUCGUGGAGCAGUGAGCAGUUACCUACUCUGUCAGAUUACUUUAGUUGCAGGUUUUGUGAAAUCUGUGGUUCUGAAACACAAUGGCCACCCUCCAUGCUGACAACAUUGAAGACACAUGCCAGAUCUCAGAAACGCCUGGGUCUGCUUAUCAGCUAACCACAUCAUAUGAUAUAGCAAUUUGACGUGGCAUGCAACCAUUGGUUGACACAUUGCAACCAAUAAGAUACUGUGGAAUCCUAAUCCUAUAUAAAGGUUUUGCCCCAAGGGAGUGCGAGGGCAAGUCGAUCAGACACAUUCAUCCCACUCUGAUGUCAUCAGGGGUUCAGGAAGUGAAGCGGCAAGAAACCUUGUUGUAUUUGUUGCCGUUGGUUACUUCAAUGUUGUGAUUUUCAUAGUUUCAGAUGUAGUGUUCAUCAUGUAAAUAGGAAGAGAGAAGUGGAUUAUGAACAGGUUCUGAAAGAGGAAGCAUUAACUACUGGAGAAAGGAAGGUUAGCUAGAGAAUCACAGUCUGUAUGUCACAUUAGUGUAGCUAUUAGGAUGAUUCCUCACCAAGCUAGAUCAACAAAAUACAGAUAAAAAAAUUAAAAAAAGAUUUAUGAUAUUUUCAUUUUUUAAACAUUUAAACAUUAGAAGGGUCCUUUGGAGGAAGCGUUUUGACAUCAUGUUAAAGCAUAAUUGAGGAAAACCAUAUUAAAGUUGGAUAAUUUGUGACAUUUAACGGCCCUGUUAUGAGGUUCUCUGUAACGGCCCUGUUAUGAGGUUCUCUGUAACGGCCCUGUUAUGAGGUUCUCUGUAACGGCCCUGUUAUGAGGUUCUCUGUAACGGCCCUGUUAUGAGGUUCUCUGCAACGGCCCUGUUAUGAGGUUCUCUGCAACGGCCCUGUUAUGAGGUUCUCUGUAACGGCCCUGUUAUGAGGUUCUCUGUAACGGCCCUGUUAUGAGGUUCUCUGCAACGGCCCUGUUAUGAGGUUCUCUGUAACGGCCCUGUUAUGAGGUUCUCUGUAACGGCCCUGUUAUGAGGUUCUCUGUAACGGCCCUGUUAUGAGGUUCUCUGCAACGGCCCUGUUAUGAGGUUCUCUGCAACGGCCCUGUUAUGAGGUUCUCUGUAACGGCCCUGUUAUGAGGUUCUCUGUAACGGCCCUGUUAUGAGGUUCUCUGUAACGGCCCUGUUAUGAGGUUCUCUGCAACGGCCCUGUUAGGAGGUUCUCUGUAACGGCCCUGUUAUGAGGUUCUCUGUAAC